UUUUUUGUGUGUUUGUUUGUUUGUUUUAAUAUAGAAGUGCAGUAUGAAAUCCUGGAAUAUGUCCAUAGCAUCCAGAAUCAAAAAUGAUAAUUCAAUAGUUUGUUUGGUCUUCUUUAGAUACUCUGAUUUAAUUUGUUCUUUUAUUAGAUUUUUCAUUUGAAAUUUGCCACUUUCAAGCAAAUUUUAUUUUAUCUUUAAAUUGGAUUUGCAUAUCUUUGCCUACAGUGUUUUGGUACAAGAAACAAAAAUACUACUAAAACAAGGUGUUUCUCUUCCUCUCCCUCUAAGGUCAGGUCACCUCCCACGUUUAGUAAGCUCAAAUAAAUCUUACCUCAUCGUACUUGCAAGCAACAUCAGCCAGGCUGCUGGUUUCACCCAGUAGACUGAGGUCCAGCUCACUGGGACCUGCAGACAGAACAACAUCAGACUGUGAGUGGGAGCCAGAGAUUCUGCUGAGUCACUUCAAAUGACUCGGCAAAGUGGAAGGCAUGCCAGCGAACAGGAGCUUAACUGUGCCAGUAAAGAUUUUUAGAUUCUUAGUUUAGUGACAUUUGGACCCUGUUUUUUCCUGAAUAAAUCAAUGCCUUCUACAUUUUAUAAAACUCACUCACUGUCUUCCAGGCAGUUUAGUCACUGGCUUCUUGAGUGCCACAAUUUGUCACUCUCAGUUUAGUUUUUGUCAUGUAAAAUAAGUAUUUUACAUUCAAGUUUUUUUUUUUCAUUUUCUAGCUUUGUUUCUCUCAGAGCCUUUUGUGAUGUUCAGUGAAAAGAAUAACAGACAUUCAUGUGUAUAAUUCAUGCGUGGUAGCAAAACGCUGUGAGUGAGGUGGGUAAAACAAACAAAACAACAAUCACAACAAUCCUCAGAUUUAAGAGGCUGGAAAGAAAGAAUCUUUAUGCUUUUAGCUUGAAAAAUUUAUUGUCCAAUUGAAUAAUUUUCUGUUGAUAUACCGAUUAUUUAAACUGUACAAAUGUGACCGAAGUCACACUUUGUCUUUGGGAAAACAGAAACGUAAUAUAAUAAUGUAAUAUAAUCAGUGUAUGUACUGCCUGCUGUCACGACCAAACGACCGAGUGCAGAUUUACUGUGCCAGAUAUACUCAUGUGUAGCACUACAGCACGGAGUGACACAACAGACAGAUGUGAAGAUGCAGCUGCACAUCUGCACUUUGUUCAAUCUGAAGAACACAGUUUAAAGAGGACAAUAAAACGAGGUUAAUUUUGGCUGCGUAAACCCGAGCUGACAGCUUCCUGUUGUCCAGAAGCUGCUGACGACGACGCUGAGCUAAAAUCUAACACAUAGCAUCUUCAUCCUUUGGCUCAGUGGAAAUGGGUCGUGAAUAACACUUCCCCUUGGCAGAUUUUAUUUCCUGCAUGCCGGAGCCUUCUGAAUAGAGACUUGGGUUGGAUGCAGCUUCAGAUGCUUCCGAAAGGACGGCAGCUGUGAAUAUCUUAGAUCCAUUAUGUUAAAAACCACUCAGAGUGCACCAAUUUUUACAAGCUACAUCAGCCAAAAACAAAAACUGUGUCCCGUGUCCUCCCUGCAGUUCCCAGCUGAAGAGUCAGCAACAUGUCAGGGUGCAUCGCGCCCUUGGAUGGCGGGGGGCUGAGGUAUGAUGGUGUGGACAGUCAGGCGGCUGAGGCUGCAGCCACCAGCAGCACUUCAGGUUGGCAUCCACGUGUGCUGCUGUGGUAAUCAUCCUCUCCUCUGCCCACCUUAGGAGAGGUGAACACCUGUUGUGAGGCUCCAUUAUACAGAAAACGCAUGCAGAAGGACAUCUUGACAAAUGUACAAAUGUCACGUUGCUCUUAAAUGCAUCUCAAAGUGCAGCUACACAACUGCUGUAAGCUCCCCAUCACAUUCAGAAACCAAUCUGAAGUUCCUGUGAUCGCCUGCCGAGCUCCGCAUGGUCAGGCACCUGCCUACACCAGAAAUCUGCUGCCUCGAAGGAUUCGUUCGCACUGCAGGAAAAUCAGACUUGUUUCUCAGAUCAACUCGCCAAAACUAUUCUUUGCAAGUGAUCACAUCGGAUUUGUGUGUCCAGACAUCACCAACCUACUGUGGUGGUGCGGCUUUCCCACGGGGACUUAUGAGAAAUGAAGAUCCAUCAUCUUGCCCUCCAAACAACACAAGUGUUUUGGGCUGGCAGUCUGAACAAACUUAUUAGAGUUUGCUGGUAGCUUUUGAUCCAGGCUUCAAACUAACAGCGACUGUGCCCAACAGAUUGUGGCUCCUGAACUUGCUUCCAUUAGAUCUGUGGACGCUGAGCACAGCUUUAAAAGGCAACUCAAGACCCAUUUGUUUAGACUUGCCGUUGUGGAUUUGUUCUAUUUUCUGCAUGUCUCUGUGAAGCUUUUCGCAGCGUCUCUGCUCUUGAAAGCUACUAUAUAAAUGAAGUUAGAUAGCGACCUAUUUUGCCAGGCCAGCAGUGUGCCAACAGUAACAUUUCUGUAAAACCUUUAUGGGCUCAGACAUGGAUGAAAUCACUGCAGAAACACCUGUAGAACGUUGACUGAUUGUAUCUUUUAAGCCGACAUUCAGUCGGGCCUUUGCUGAAGGUCAGGAAUGUGUGUCUUUGCGACACAUUUUGGAAACUGUACAUUAUUGGGUUUAGCGUAACGCAUAUCGCCUCCGUCAGGCCACCUGACUGAUCAAAGGCCGACUCUAUCCUUGUUGAUUCAGUAUUUCUCACACGGUGUGGCUGGCCCUGCUUCACUGGUUGCUAUGCCAACUCUUGUGGUAAGCAGGGAGCUGGCGGGGGAUGUUUGUGGUUUUCUCUGUUCUUGUGUUUGUGCGCAAUAAAAUAAAAUGAAAGCAAUAAAA